ACACACUGCACAAGUAGUUUUAAAAUAUAUCACACACUUUAGGAAAAUCAGAAAAUGAAGCUGGUGAAUAUUGGGUUAAAUGAAAUAGAGACCAGAGAUGAUAAGAAUAUUAUAAUGGCAUAUUUGAACUUACACUUGAAGAAUCUAAAAGCUUUUCUCCUCUAGGUGACCCAGAAGUAAGCAAACAGAAUAUAUGUCAGCAAGAUGUGGUCAGCUACUUACGCCUAUAUCAAGUGUAUGAGCUUCUUGACUCUUUGUCUGAGUUCAAGUACAUAAUUCAACUUAAUAAUUCAUGUAUUCUAUUUAACAAUGACUACUGUUGUCUCAAGACAAUAAUAUUGCUCUCCUGUCCAACCAGUAUAACUUUUUCAUAUUAGAGGAAGUUAAGCAAAAUGCUACCAAAUAAAAAAAAGAAUCAAGAAAAUAUUUCUCUUCUCAUUCAUAGCCCUGUUCAGAUGCUACACUGCUACCUCUACUCUUGUUUUGCAAAUAAGUAGUCAGGGCAUAUCAUGCAGAAGAACUCCUGCCUCCUGACCGUGCAGCAGCAGACCUUCUAAGAAAUCAUUGCCUCUUUCUAAGCUAUAGUACAUAUGCAUAAUGGUAUUAAAAAGGCUGAAGACUUAACUAAAUAUAAUUUUCUUAAAACCUCUAAGUAUUACUUUUGCGAUAAACAAGGUGUUCAGAUUUGUACUGACAUGAAUUUAUGUUCCAUAAUUUUCUACUAAUUUUCAUACAGACUUUUAUAAUUAAUGAGUACAACUUUGACACCUUAUUAUGUUCCAGAUAACAAUUAUAGCAAAUCCUUUGUUUUUACUUUUAAAGUGAACAAUUGCAUAAAAACAUUAAAACGUAUUGUCACCUCAUGCAGAACCCAAAACCUGAAAUGUACUUCCUGACAUUACAAUUCAUUCACCCUUUUCACAAAUUCUCUUGUAAACAUUGCUACAAGAAAAAUUAGCUAGAACAAAGUAAAAUGGAAGAAUUAAUGUCUCCAACAUAAACAAAUACACAAAGCAUCUAUUUGUAUCCCUGGAAAGAUAUUUACGUAAUGCUUGAAGAGAGUAAAAGUGAUCAAACAGUCCCAGUUUAGGGUGGCAUUAAUUUCUAGAGAGGUUAGUGAGGAAAAUACAAGCUAGAGAAAAAAAGAAGUCACUCAAAGAAAAUAAAUCUUAAAGUGUUCUGAUUCUUCAGUUGUUCAUUAACCAAAACAACUUGCACCUCUAGGGCCUUUUUCAUGCAAAUACAAGCCUCAAAGAGCCAAGUCUUUAAUUACACAUCAGCACUGGAAAAGUAUACAGGAAAUGAAUGAGGUAAGCCUUGUAAACUAGCAGAAACCUUGUCACUGGCAAAGCAGUCAUGUGUUGGAGAAUUAUUAUUGUCAAUAAAAACAAACUUUCAAUCCCUGACUUGAGCAUUUGGAGAAAAAAAAAAAAAAAGAAAGAAAAACAAGAAUAUAGUUAAUCAAACACAUAAACACAUAUCCUUCCCUUCUCCAGUCUUAAUUGCCCCUACACUCACCAAUGGUUACACACAGUUCAUGGAAACCUCUCGGGUAGGGAGGCAAGGUGACAAGAAAAUCUCAAGGCAGAUGCAUCCCCCAUGGCUGUCCUUACUCCAUCAUGGGCUGUUCAGCUACAUUUUAUCAGGGGUGUUCCCCUGGCCCCCACCCACCAUCAUGGCUGCCAAUUUUGUAAAUGCAUGCGCUGAAGGGCCCUAUGGCUCCCACUGUCCAGCCCAUGUGCUCAGGCUGUGGGCAGCACAGGGCAGUGCUUCCCAUUUCUGCACAGCUGUCCCUGCAGCCUCCCACUGCCCAGGCCCUAUAACAGGAUAGCCUUCCUGAAAAUGUGCAGCACAUUUGAGCACUUCAGAUAUAACUGUUUCCAGCAACACCCUUGUUAAUAAUUAUCCAUAUACUGCACAGAAUCUGCCUGAGCUUCAUGCUUUAACAAGGAAAUUCCAAACAUAAAUCCUCAUUACUUUUACAGGAAAUUUUAAACAAAACAUGAAAUGAAUCUUGCUGCCUCUCUGCUCUCAGGAGUAGUACCGUUGACAUCUAUGGUGCCAUGUUAGGAUUAUAUUAUGCUUUAUAAUGAAACUGGAGAGUAUUUUAUAUUGAUCUCUAUAAUCUCUUUGGCUUACAUAAGCCAGGAUUUCAUCUUGCAUUUACAAGCAACCAAAAACCAGAAAACUAUGUAUCAUUUCUAUCAAGCAGUUUUAUUUACACAUGCAGUUAUUAUUUACAGAACUGGGAAUAGACUAGAAAGCAUAUUAUAAGUUUCCAAGAAAAAAGAGUGUAUUUGGUAUGUGCAUGUAGGUUUACAUUUAGAGUUAAAUAUCUAUUGUACAUUCUCACUUUCAAUCCAUUCAUAUGUAUACGAAAAGCUUUUCCCAUUUUUCAUAAUAAAUAUAUAUUGCUUCAUAUUUUUGAAUGGAAGUCAUUUAUAUUUGUGUAUGUAAUCACAAUGUCCUGUAAUGAUGGACUACAUUCAAGCACCUGUGUACUUCCAGAUAUUUUUUUUUAUUGAAGUUUUCCCAGUGUUUGGUGUAAGAGAUUAUUCUUUUAUAUAAUUGACUCAAAGUUUGCUGAGGAACAAGUCCAGGCAAGUUCUGGGAAUAGGUAGAGAAAUCUGUCUGGAGGACACUGAUGGACAGAUCCUGGCUAAGGGUUGUGAAAUCCUUUAAGGAGCACAGAUGGACAAGGCCAGGGGCAACGAGAGAGGGAUAAGCUGCUGAUAAUGGCCAGGAAACGGUCUUUUGUGUGGACUUAUCUCCAGGAAGAUGGCCAUCUCAGGAGGUAUGCACAUGACUCUUGCUCAAGCACCCAGGGAUGUCACGUAGGCAGGAAAAAAAGGAGGAUAAAAGAGGGUCCAACAACUAUGAGGAGAGGGUUUCUGCCAUCAGAUCCCUCACUACGGAUCGUAUGCUGAUGGACUUCCCUGGACCUGCUACCUGAGACCUGCUGCUUCCUCCCAGACUUACUCUGCGGCUUCUUCCUGGACCCACCCGGUACCUGCACCCUCCCGUUGCCCACGAUUGGCCUCGGUGCUCCUGCCUUUCAGCCUCAGACCAUCGGAAUGUCGUGCAAUGGGACUACUGCCGGAUCCUGGUAGUGACUAUCCCUGCUUUACGCAAUUCUUGCUUCUUUCUAUCUUUUCUAUCACUCGCCUUCCCUUCCCCAUCACCCCAAUCCGUAAUAGUGUUCGUCCUCCCCUUUCUUCAUCUCCCUUAUUAACAUAUGUAAUAAACUGGUUGGACC
rnacentral:lncRNA from 1 species